rnacentral:rRNA from 1 species
CAUCUAAGUAGGGCGAGGAAGAGAAAUCAACCGAGAUUCCGCUAGUAGUGGCGAGCGAACGCGGAAGAGGCCAAACCAAGAGUAGUAAUACUUUUGGGGUUUUGGACAGCGUAAGGUAUUAACAACGGUUAGUUGAAUGAAAUGGGAAGUUCAACCAUAGAGCGUGAGAGUCGCGUAAACGAAAACUGAAGUUAGCCGGCUGGAUCCAGAGUACCGCCGGACACGUGAAACCCGGUGGGAAGACGGGGGGACCACCCUCCAAGCCUAAAUACUCUCCAAUGACCGAUAGUGUAAAGUACUGUGAAGGAAAGGUGAAAAGAACCCCUGGCGGGGAGUGAAAAAGAACCUGAAACCUUGUGCCUACAAGCACAUAGAGCGCGUCAAAGCGUGAUAUGGUACCUUUUGUAGAAUGGUCCGGCGAGUGAAUGUCACUAGCAAGGUUAAUGACUUAAGGUCAGGAGCCGCAGCGAAAGCGAGUCUUAAUAGGGCGACAUUAGUUAGUGGUAUUCGACCCGAAACCGAGUGACCUAGCCAUGAGCAGGCUGAAGUGGAGGUAAAACUCCAUGGAGGGCCGAACCCACUCCCGUUGAAAUGGUAGGGGAUGACUUGUGGCUAGCGGAGAAAUUCCAAUCGAACUCGGAGAUAGCUGGUUCUCUCCGAAAUAGCUUUAGGGCUAGCCUCAAUAUACAUUACCGCAGGUAAAGCACUGAAUGAGCUAGGGGGCGAAAGCUUACUGAACUCUAUCAAACUAAGAAUGGCGGAUAAUGAAAUAUUGGGAGUCACACUACGUGAGAUAAGUUUCGUGGUGGAAAGGGAAACAGCCCAGACCCACAGCUAAGGUCCCAAAGUACGGUUAAGUGGAAAAGGAUGUGGAGUUGCACAGACAACCAGGAUGUUGGCUCAGAAGCAGCCACUCAUUUAAAGAGUGCGUAAUAGCUCACUGGUCGAGUGAUUCUGCGCCGAAAAUUUAACGGGGCUAAAUCGUACACCGAAGCUUGGGAAUAUACAUUUGUAUGUUGGUAGGAGAGCGUUGUAUGCGGGGUGAAGUCAUAGCGAAAGCGGUGGUGGACUGCAUACAAGUGAGAAUGCCGGAAUGAGUAGCGAGAAUUAUGUGAGAAUCAUAAUGGCCGAAAGACUAAGGUUUUAGAAGGAAGGUUCGUCCGCUUCUAGUUAGCCGGGAGCUAAGGCGAGGCCGAAAGGCGUAGUCGAUGCACAUACGGUUGAGAUUCCGUAGCCACCUACGAUUUAAACUAAAGGACACAUCUGAAGGGCAUGACCCGGGCGUUGGUAGACCCGGGCGUAAGGGACCGAAAACAAGUAGGGAAGCAUGUUUGGAAGGUGGCGAGAAAAGUUUAGUGUAUAUAAUGUAGGUGCCCGUACUGCAAACCGACACAGGUAGUCAGGAAGAGAAUUCUAAGGCCAUCGGGAGAAGCGUUGUUAAGGAACUCGGCAAAUUGACCCCGUAACUUCGGAAUAAGGGGUGCUCACGAGAGUGAGCCGCAGUGAAUAGGUCCAGGCAACUGUUUAUCAAAAACACAGCUCUCUGCUAAAUCGUAAGAUGACGUAUAGGGGGUGACACCUGCCCGGUGCUGGAAGGUUAAGAGGAUGGGUGCAAGCUCAGAAUUGAAGCCCCAGUAAACGGCGGCCGUAACUAUAACGGUCCUAAGGUAGCGAAAUUCCUUGUCGGGUAAGUUCCG